CCUCUCGGCCUAACUCCCCAUGUCUACGCUUCAUUAUUUCUUCCCUUAAGUAAACAUCAUCAUACGGCCCAUAACCAUCAUGUUGUCCUCCCCUACCAUAGCCCUCAACAUGGAUGGGUCUAUUUGGGUUAAGUGGAGCUUGUAGUGGCGGGAUUGGAUUUGGAUAGUGAGGUCUUUGGUCAAGUAGAGUUUGGAUGGGAGGGUUUGGGUUUGGUGAUGGUUUUUGGGUUCCAAUCCCUU
rnacentral:lncRNA from 1 species